rnacentral:rRNA from 1 species
UACGUAGGGUGCAAGCGUUGUCCGGAAUUAUUGGGCGUAAAGAGCUCGUAGGCGGUUUGUCGCGUCUGCUGUGAAAACCCGAGGCUCAACCUCGGGCCUGCAGUGGGUACGGGCAGACUAGAGUGCGGUAGGGGAGAUUGGAAUUCCUGGUGUAGCGGUGGAAUGCGCAGAUAUCAGGAGGAACACCGGUGGCGAAGGCGGGUCUCUGGGCCGUAACUGGACGCUGAGGAGCGAAAGCGUGGGGAGCGAACAGG